UGGGGAAUAUUGCACAAUGGGGGAAAGCCCUGAUGCAGCAACGCCGCGUGAAGGAAGACGGUUUUCGGAUUGUAAACUUCUGUUCUUAGUGAAGAAUAAUGACGGUAGCUAAGGAGCAAGCCACGGCUAACUACGUGCCAGCAGCCGCGGUAAUACGUAGGUGGCAAGCGUUGUCCGGAAUUACUGGGUGUAAAGGGAGCGCAGGCGGGAGACCAAGUCAGCUGUGAAAACUACGGGCUUAACCUGUAGACUGCAGUUGAAACUGGUUUUCUUGAGUGAAGUAGAGGUUGGCGGAAUUCCGAGUGUAGCGGUGAAAUGCGUAGAUAUUCGGAGGAACACCGGUGGCGAAGGCGGCCAACUGGGCUUUAACUGACGCUGAGGCUCGAAAGUGUGGGGAGCAAACAGGAUUAGAUACCC
rnacentral:rRNA from 1 species